UACGUAGGGUGCGAGCGUUGUCCGGAAUUAUUUGGGCGUAAAGGGCUCGUAGGCGGUUUGUCGCGUCGGGAGUGAAAACACCGGGCUUAACUCGGUGCUUGCUUUCGAUACGGGCAGACUAGAGGUAUGCAGGGGAGAACGGAAUUCCUGGUGUAGCGGUGAAAUGCGCAGAUAUCAGGAGGAACACCGGUGGCGAAGGCGGUCUCUGGGCAGUAACUGACGCUGAGGAGCGAAAGCGUGGGGAGCGAACAGG
rnacentral:rRNA from 1 species